AUUUCAGGAGUGAUGUUAUUGAACGGCAGUGUAGACACUGUUUUUCACAGAAAACCAGUUUGUUCAAGUGCAAAAGCAGCUGAGACUUACCACUGGAUCAAUUUGCCUGUCGUUUAAGAUCAUUUUAAAAGAGUUGAUUACACCCUCACGGUCUCUUGCCACUUCAGGCAAAGACAGGAGCGAAGUGUGGCAUCAGAUUUUUCACCAGAAGAAGAAGAAGGAAAAAAAACAACAACAUUGUGACGAGCUUGGGGAAGACGUUUCGCUUAGUUCUGUCCUCAUGGAAGGGAGGGAGGAAGAAAAGUCCUUCUUCUUACCAAAGAAAGAAAUCAAGAUCCUUUUGAUGAUUCCGUUAAAGGUGCCUGCCUACAUCUUUGGUCUCUUUUGUUAAUAUGGAAACAUUUGAAAAACAGAUAGCAAAGCAGAGAUUCAUCUCUUGUUAAGUGCAGAGCUUGAAAGGGUCGCUGUUGACUGCAAUCUAUUAUCCUGAACGGGCCCGUGCCCCAUAACAAGCACCAUGUCUGGCAGUGAAUGCUGGUCAGGCCAGGCCCUAAGAAACACCGUCUGAACUGAUCCCACUUCCUGCAGCAUCAAGGAGCUCUUUAGAGAGGAGGCCCCCUCCAAGUACUGGCCUAGCCCACCCUUAUUUCCCUUGUGAGAGUAAAAGGGAGAGCAGAACAAGGGUUGCUGGCUGAUGGGCAGAUCCUGAAGAUGCUUGUUGCUGUACUGAGUUACUGCGGCAAGAAGUCUCACUGAACUAUUCAGGGUAAUAAGUGUUUCAGGAUUGGGCCUUUACAUAUUAUUUUUUUGGAGAACGCAAUAUUAUUUGAAGAAACUGAUCAUUUUCUUGAAAGGAAGGAUGGCCUGGUGGUUGGUGCACUGACCCGGGACAUGUAAGACCUGGCUUCAAGACCCUGUUUUGCCACAGACUUCUUGUGUGAGCAUGGGAGAAUCACUUGGCUCCCUGUGCCUCAGUUUCCCAUCUGUAAAAUGAGCUAAGACUUGUGGUGGCUGGCAAUCUAGGUACCAAAGCCAAGAAACCAACAGAAGCUGUCCCUACCCAACUUGGACACUGGAAAAAAGGUGGUGGUGAUGAGCAUUUCCUUAGAACUUCAAGUUCUGCUACUUAAAAAUAAUACUUAAUGAGACUAAGACUUUUUUGCCUUAAAAGAGCUCUUCAGUCUGCUUAGUGCAUCUCAUACACCAAACCUCUGCAAGACAGUGAAUUUGAAGAAAGAAGUGAGGCUGGAGACAUUGCCAAAUUGGAGACCUCUGCCAAAUUCCACACUGUACCCAAUUUCAAAGUAGCAAUCCAUCUGUCCACUUAGUGGGAGAAAUGGAGAUUGUUCCACAGUAAACCGUGCCCUAAUGUUUUUAAAAAAAUGAUUAAUGUUUUUAGUUUUAAUGUGUUUUGCUGGGCAAAUCUGAAACACACGCGAGUGUGCUCAGAAACCAUGAGGCUUUAUUAAUCCUUUUGGUAAAUCAGAGUUACCACAUCAAAUGAAAGAAUGUGAGGAAAAAACAGCUUGUCUUUGCUUUUUAGAUACCAUGUUGUAACCCCCAUAAUGUUUCAGAGGUAUUCUUCCCUCCCGGAAACACUCCAGUUAAUUACCAGCGGAGUUAUUGGCAAAUGAAUAUUUUUCUGACCCUCAGGUAGAGUCGGGCAGCAAACAUUGUCAUCUUCCCAUAUCUCGCAGUAAUACAGACUCAGGGUGAUGCAUUAUGCAACUGUGUUCCCUUAUGUUAUAGUCACUCAGGUCUAUCAGCCUGUCCAUUAAAAUCCACAAUAUGCAGGGGUUUUUAAUCUGGUUGUAAAAAAUUUGCUCCGGGCUCUAGCUCAGAUUACAAAGUCUUUGUCGGGGAGUGAUUUUUUGAAUGCAUUUCCCAGUGUUUUGAUUUGUAAGAGUGUCAAGGAAAUGAACUCCAAUGGCACUUUGAUUUUUGUAAAGCAAAACUGACAGAUAGUGAGCUGGACUAAAUAGAGUUUCUUUUUUAAUUUAUGUAUAAAAGGUAAGAAACUAAAUGCUACCCCCAUAUUUAACUAAUUAUUCUUGGUUUUGUGUGCUCAUCUCUGAUAUGUUGUUUUCCAUCUCUGGGGCCUAUCAGAUGGGGCUAAAUGUGGGAGUAAGGUGAGCAGGAUUCAACCCUUUUGGGCUAAAUUAAGACCUAGUGUGCAAACUUUUACUCUAAGGCUGAGAUGUUAAAAGCCACCUAUGGGAUUUAGGCACUCAAGUGCCAUCCAGUUUUAAUGAGAAUUGGGUGCCCAGGUCCCCUAAGUGCCUUUGAAGAUCUCAGCCUAUAUGUGUGAAAACUGUUACACAGCUUAAAAUGGGGAGUCAUUUCUAAGGGCUAAGUCUGAGUUCUCCAGGACUGUAGGUGCAGAGGAAUACAGGAGGUCUUAGGCAGCCUUGAUUAUACAGCGCAGGAGUGGAGAGAUGUGGGGGCGAAGGCCGUUUUAAGGACAGGGUUUCCUUUGCUGGAGAAACAGCAAGGAGGCUAGAUGGUCCCUUGUAACACCAGUGCCUGAGGAAGUGUGAACACGCGCGCUGCAGAUGCUGAAAUCCCAGAGGUGUGUUCGUGGAGAGAGCCCCCAGUAAAAGUUGCAGUGGGGCCAUGGGCAUGUUGGCACAUUCAGAAUGUGGGUUUCCAUGUUUGUGUGUGGGGAGGAGAAAGGAGGUGGUUGAUAUUUGGCACCUGUAGGCUUGAACAGCAUGCGGAGGGAUGUCAGAAUACCAGGUCUUCUGCGCAUCAGGACCAUAGCCACUAAAUCAUAGCAGAUGCUUUGCCUGUGCACACCAAUUUGUAAUUAAAACACAACUUGCCAUCCUGAUUAGAUUAAGCAGUUACAUUCAUUUGCAAUAGUUUUUUUCCCCUCUGCAUUGUGUAAUUAGGAACAUAUGAUGCUUACAUUAGCUCAAUUAAAAGUUAUAAUGAUUAAUUUGCAUUUCAAAGCCUAACCAUGAAUCAACUGGUACAACACGCUGGAACAAGUUCAGUUACACUGUAACUGUGUGAGCUGCCCACGUGAACACUUCCCUCUGCUCGUGCCAGGGAGUUUAUGUAGGAAGUGUAAUAUGUAACUCCAUGGACUGAUCUUCAGAGGUGGGAACUGUAGGUGCUCAACACCUCUGAAAAUUAUACAGGUUCUGUGUUCAUCCCUAUGGUAUCUGAGCGCUUUCCAACUGUGCUUUAAGCAACAUGACUAGCAUCUGCCACAUAGCAUUCAUUCCUUUUCUCAGAAUCAGGUUCUAGAGAUUAAUAUUAUUCAAAAAUCACCCAAGUGAUUUAGGAAUUGAUCAUCAUCCUGUUUUCAAGGCCAUGUCUCCGCUGCGGGUACUACACAGCAGUGGCGGUGCGUUUGUGUAGCCUCAACGCGUAGACGCAGACUAGAGCCAUGGAAGGGGCUUUUCCGUCACUGCAGGAACUCCACCUCCCCCAGCGAUGGUAGCGAGGUUGAUGGAAGCAUCUACCCCAGGGGUUAAACUGGUACAGCCAUGGCGCUCAGUCCUGUGGUUUUUCAUACCCCCGGAGUCCAGUAACUAAGUUGAUCUAUGUUUUCAGCGUAGACCGUGCCUUACGCAGUUAAGAGCCCAAGUCCCAUGGAAAGUCAGUGGGAUUUAAGCUCCUAAAUCACAGGAGCUUUUGGAAAUUUUUAUCCUAGGUACUUAUUCAAGCCCCGUUUAUGUAAGGUAUAAUUCUGAAAUGUUUGGGCCAAAUUCAGAAUGCUUUCCCCAGACAAGUCUCCCGCUGAAGCUGUAACAGGAGAUUUGCCUGAGAAAAGGCUUUGGGACUUAGGCCCAAAAUUAGUAACGUAACUUUGUUUAAAAAAAUAACAUUGUAGGCUAACUGUAACAAAUUAUUUUUCUUUACUCAGUCAGAAUGUUUUGUCUUUUUAUCCACCUUCUGCCAAACUCUUAAAAAAACCCCUGCAAAACAAUAUUUUGAGAUGUUAGAAAAGUACACCCCCAUCAACAGUAUUUCCAUUUGUUUGCUGGAAACAGACUCCAUAACAAAAGAGAUCAGUGUUUGAAAAGUACGUCAGCCACAGAUGGUUGAUACAAAAUCUGCUCAAACAGCCUCGACAUCUUAUGAGUUAUGGCUCCAAACGAAGAUGAAACACAAAAGCAGUUUCCAAUCUUUCCAAGAAAUGGAUGGGACAGGCUAUAAUAAUGGAUUGCCACUUUUACAAUGUAUGGGCUUUAAAUGAAAAAUCUCAGUGGUGCAAAGUCUGUGGACGUUAGAAUAUUCAUUUACUGCUUAAGUUACUGUAUGAGGGAAGAGAGAAGAUUUUUUCCCCCAUUUUUUUGACAGCCCUAUGGGAACGAUAGACACUUAUAUGGUGCUUCUGUGAACAGAUUGCAGUGUUGGGGGAAAUUGGUCCUCAGCCAUUGGGGGUGUGUGUGUGUGUGUGUGUUUAUGCUGAUGUUACAUUGACAGGAUGUUAAAAUGUUUUACUUUUCCAGCCAUCAAUUUCAAUUGAAUUUCAUAUAGCCAUUAAAGUUCUAUGCUGUUUUCUUCACUGUUCCAGCUAUGUGAACUCCAGCCAUUUACUUGCAAUUCCUGCGGCAUGAUUGUUUCACAGAGCAGCAAAAGUAAAUUGGUUCCCAAUGUUAAUUUUUUCUUUAAAUGUCUCUAACUGUCCAUGAGCGAUGUCCUGGGUUGACUACAUGCCUCUUCAGCUGGUUUUUCCAAAAUGCUUCUUUGACUCACCCGCUGGUAGAUGUAGUGUGUUGAAGGCCCUUGAAUGUAGAGUUUAAUGGCUGGGUCUCUUGUAUUUUCUGAUGAUGGUGGCAGAGCUGCCAAGCUGCUAAACUGUUUUCCCGCCCCCUCCCCC